UCCGAAUUAGUACAGUGGCUAGUAUAUAUCGCUUUCAAGAUAUCUGCUUGGUAGCUCCGAUGAGACCCGGGUUCAAUUCCCGGAUUCGGAA
rfam:Neolecta irregularis DAH-3 scaffold_14376, whole genome shotgun sequence.